rnacentral:rRNA from 1 species
AACGAACGCUGGCGGCAGGCCUAACACAUGCAAGUCGAGCGCCCAGCAAUGGGAGCGGCGCACGGGUGAGUAACACGUGGGAACGUGCCCUUUGGUUCGGAAUAACUCAGGGAAACUUGAGCUAAUACCGGAUAAGUCCGCGAGGAGAAAGAUUCAUCGCCGAAGGAUUGGCCCGCGUCUGAUUAGCUAGUUGGUGAGGUAACGGCUCACCAAGGCGACGAUCAGUAGCNGGUCUGAGAGGAUGAUCAGCCACACUGGGACUGAGACACGGCCCAGACUCCUACGGGAGGCAGCAGUGGGGAAUAUUGGACAAUGGGCGCAAGCCUGAUCCAGCCAUGCCGCGUGAGUGAUGAAGGCCUUAGGGUUGUAAAGCUCUUUUACCC